rnacentral:rRNA from 1 species
AAGCCGAGAGGAAGGUGGGGAUGACGUCAAGUCCUCAUGGCCCUUACGGGCUGGGCUACACACGUGCUACAAUGGUGGUGACAGUGGGCAGCGAGACCGCGAGGUCGAGCUAAUCUCCAAAAGCCAUCUCAGUUCGGAUUGCACUCUGCAACUCGAGUGCAUGAAGUUGGAAUCGCUAGUAAUCGCAGAUCAGCAUGCUGCGGUGAAUACGUUCCCGGGCCUUGUACACACCGCCCGUCACACCAUGGGAGUUGGUUCUACCCGAAGGUAGUGCGCUAACCGCAAGGAGGCAGCUAACCACGGUAGGGUCAGCGAC